rnacentral:rRNA from 1 species
AUACGUAGGGGGCAAGCGUUGUCCGGAAUGAUUGGGCGUAAAGGGCGCGUAGGCGGCCUGAUAAGUCUGGAGUGAAAGUCCUGCUUUCAAGGUGGGAAUUGCUUUGGAAACUGUCGGGCUAGAGUGCAGGAGAGGUUAGUGGAAUUCCCAGUGUAGCGGUGAAAUGCGUAGAGAUUGGGAGGAACACCAGUGGCGAAGGCGACUAACUGGACUGUAACUGACGCUGAGGCGCGAAAGUGUGGGGAGCAAACAGGAUUAGAUACCCUGGUAGUCCACACUGUAAACGAUGAAUGCUAGGUGUAGGAGGUAUCGACCCCUUCUGUGCCGGAGUAAACACAAUAAGCAUUCCGCCUGGGGAGUACGGCCGCAAGGUUGAAACUCAAAUGAAUUGACGGGG